rfam:Otolemur garnettii contig114919, whole genome shotgun sequence.
GUGCUUGCUUUGACAGCACAUAUACUAGAAUUGGAACGAUACAGAGAAGAUUAGCAUGGCCCCUGCUCAAAGAUGACACUCAAGAAAAGAACAAAUAACCCCAUUUCU